rnacentral:rRNA from 1 species
GAUGAACGCUGGCGGCGUGCCUAAUACAUGCAAGUCGAACGAAGCGGGGACGGGUGAGUAACACGUGGAUAACCUCCUAUAAGACUGGGAUAACUUCCGGGAACCGGUGCUAAACCGGCUACUUAUAGAUGGAUCCGCGCUGCAUUAGCUAGUUGGUAGGGUAACGGCUUACCAAGGCAACGAUGCAUAGCCGACCUGAGAGGGUGAUCGGCCACACUGGAACUGAGACACGGUCCAGACUCCUACGGGAGGCAGCAGUAGGGAAUCUUCCGCAAUGGGCGAAAGCCUGACGGAGCCACGCCGCGUGAGUGAUGAAGGUCUUCGGAUCGUAAAACUCUGUUAGUAGGGAGGCGGUACCUAAACAGAAAGCCACGGCUAACUACGUGCCAGCAGCCGCGGUAAUUC